rnacentral:rRNA from 1 species
GAUGAACGCUGGCGGCGUGCCUAAUACAUGCAAGUCGAGCGAACAGACGAGGAGCUUGCUCCUCUGACGUUAGCGGCGGACGGGUGAGUAACACGUGGAUAACCUACCUAUAAGACUGGGAUAACUUCGGGAAACCGGAGCUAAUACCGGAUAAUAUAUUGAACCGCAUGGUUCAAUAGUGAAAGACGGUUUUGCUGUCACUUAUAGAUGGAUCCGCGCCGCAUUAGCUAGUUGGUAAGGUAACGGCUUACCAAGGCAACGAUGCGUAGCCGACCUGAGGGGGGGAUGGCCACCACUGAAACUGAGACACGGCCCAGACCCCAAGGGGAGGCACCGGUAGGGAAUCUUCCGCAAUGGGCGAAAGCUUGACGGAGCAACGCCGGGUGGGGGAUGAAGGUCUUCGGAUGGUAAAACUCUUUUAUGGGGGAAAAACAAAUGUGUAAGUAACGAUGCACGUCUGGAGGGAACCUAUACAGAAGCCCAGGCUAAACUACUU